AAGUCGUAACAAGGUAACCGUAGGUGAACCUGCGGUUGGAUCAUUAACAAAAAGAUAGGGGUCAGACCUUAAAACGUCUGGCCUUUAUAAACCCCUGUGCACUUGUAAUGUUUGAGGCAAGGUCAAAUUGGAGACCCGGUAGGGUCUUUGGGAGAGUCUGAAGGCAAACUAGCACCUAGUGCUGAUGCGCGUUCACUCCCCCCCUUGCCUCUGCAUCAACAUUUAACAUGUAUAUCUUGAGCUAGUUUAUUUAUUAUAUUAAUAUCUAACAACUUUUGACAACGGAUCUCUAGGCUCUC
rnacentral:misc_RNA from 1 species